rnacentral:rRNA from 1 species
AUGAACGCUGGCGGCGUGCCUAAUACAUGCAAGUCGAGCGAACGGACGAGAAGCUUGCUUCUCUGAUGUUAGCGGCGGACGGGUGAGUAACACGUGGAUAACCUACCUAUAAGACUGGGAUAACUUCGGGAAACCGUAGCUAAUACCGGAUAAUAUUUUGAACCGCAUGGUUCAAAAGUGAAAGACGGUCUUGCUGUCACUUAUAGAUGGAUCCGCGCUGCAUUAGCUAGUUGGUAAGGUAACGGCUUACCAAGGCAACGAUGCAUAGCCGACCUGAGAGGGUGAUCGGCCACACUGGAACUGAGACACGGUCCAGACUCCUACGGGAGGCAGCAGUAGGGAAUCUUCCGCAAUGGGCGAAAGCCUGACGGAGCAACGCCGCGUGAGUGAUGAAGGUCUUCGGAUCGUAAAACUCUGUUAUUAGGGAAGAACAUAUGUGUAAGUAACUGUGCACAUCUUGACGGUACCUAAUCAGAGGGCCACGGCUAACUACGUG